UGCAGACUUCUUCCUGUACCACUGCUUGAAGAAGGUGUCUUCCAGGAACUGGCAGUAGGACUGGGAGUUGAGCUUGACUCCAUCCUCAACCCGAAAAGGCCCCACAAGCUCAUCUUUGAUGAUAGCAGCCCAAACCAGUACUCCACCUCCACCUUGCUGGCGUCUGAGUCGGACUGGAGCUCUCUGCCCUUUACCAAUCCAGCCACGGGCCCAUCCAUCUGGCCCAUCAAGACUCAC